CCAAUAGCGUAUAUUAAAGUUGUUGCAGUUAAAAAGCUCGUAGUUGAAUUUCGGGGUCAGUAGGUUGGUCAUGCCACAGGUAUGUACUGAUCUUACUGAUUCCUCCUUCCUGAUGAACCGUAAUGCCAUUAAUUUGGUGUUGCGGGGAAACUGGACUGUUACUUUGAAAAAAUUAGAGUGUUUAAAGCAGGCUAACGCUUGAAUACAUUAGCAUGGAAUAAUGAAAUAGGACGUUCGAUCCUAUUUUGUUGGUUUCUAGGAUUGACGUAAUGAUUAAUAGGGAUAGUUGGGGGCAUUAGUAUUCAAUUGUCAGAGGUGAAAUUCUUGGAUUUAUUGAAGACUAACUACUGCGAAAGCAUUUGCCAAGGAUGUUUUCAUUAAUCAAGAACGAAAGUUAGGGGAUCGAAGACGAUCAGAUACCGUCGUAGUCUUAACCAUAAACUAUGCCGACUAGGGAUCGGAUGAUGUUAAUUUUUUAAUGACUCAUUCGGCGCCUUACG
rnacentral:rRNA from 1 species